AUUGAACGCUGGCUGCAGGCCUAACACAUGCAAGUCGAACGAGUGGCGGACGGGUGAGUAAUGUCUGGAAACCUGCAUGAUUGAGGGGGAUGACUACUGGAAAAGGUAGCUAAUACCGCAUACCAUCAGAUGUGCCCAGAUGGGUUUAGCUAGGUGUUGGGGUAACUGCUCACCCACGCGACGAUCCCUAGCUGGGCUGAGUGGAUGACCAGCCACACGGGAACGGAGACACGGUCCAGACUCAUACGUGAGGCAGCAGUGGGGAAUAUGGCACAAGGGGCGCAGGCCUGAUGCAGCCAUGCCGCGUGUAGUGAGAAGGCCUGCGGGUUUUAAAGUACUUUCAGCGGGGAGGCGUUACCCGCAGAAGAAGCACCGGCUAACUCCGUGCCAGCCGCCGCGGUAAUAC
rnacentral:rRNA from 1 species